GCAUAUCAAUAAGCGGAGGAAAAGAAACUAACAAGGAUUCCCCUAAGUACGGCGAGUGAAGCGGGAAGAGCUCAAAUUUGAAAUCUGGUAGCCUUCGGUUGCCCGAGUUGUAAUCUAGAGAAGUGUUUUCCGUGCCGGCCCAUGUACAAGUCCCUUGGAACAGGGCGUCAUAGAGGGUGAGAAUCCCGUCCUUGACAUGGACCCCCGGUGCUUUGUGAUACACUUUCAACGAGUCGAGUUGUUUGGGAAUGCAGCUCAAAAUGGGUGGUGAAUUCCAUCUAAAGCUAAAUAUUGGCGAGAGACCGAUAGCGAACAAGUACCGUGAGGGAAAGAUGAAAAGCACUUUGGAAAGAGAGUUAAACAGUACGUGAAAUUGUUGAAAGGGAAACGAUUGAAGUCAGUCAUGCUCUUGGGACUUACCUCCCUUGAGUGGGGUCAACAUCAGUUUUGAUCGAUGGAUAAAGGCACGGGGAAGGUAGCACUCUCGGGUGAACUUAUAGCCUCGCGUCAUAUACAUUGAUUGGGACUGAGGAACGCAGCAUGCCUUAUGGCCGGGAUUCGUCCACGUACAUGCUUAGGAUGUUGACAUAAUGGCUUUAAACGACCCGUCUUGAAACACGGACC
rnacentral:rRNA from 1 species